UCCGGUUGAUCCUGCCAGAGGCCGCUGCUAUCCGGCUGGGACUAAGCCAUGCUAGUCUAGGGGCUUGUACCCCUUCGGGGGUGCAAGCACCGGCGGACGGCUCAGUAACACGUGGACAACCUGCCCUCGGGUGGGGGAUAACCCCGGGAAACUGGGGCUAAUCCCCCAUAGGUGAUGGGUGCUGGAAUGCCCCAUCUCCGAAAGCGCUCAGCGCCCGAGGAUGGGUCUGCGGCGGAUUAGGUAGUUGGUGGGGUAACGGCCCACCAAGCCUAAGAUCCGUACGGGCUGUGGGAGCAGGAGCCCGGAGAUGGACCCUGAGACAAGGGUCCAGGCCCUACGGGGCGCAGCAGGCGCGAAACCUCCGCAAUGCGGGAAACCGCGACGGGGUUAGCCGGAGUGCCCGUGCAUUGCACGGGCUGUCGGGGUGCCUAAACAGCACCCCAUAGCAAGGGCCGGGCAAGGCCGGUGGCAGCCGCCGCGGUAAGACCGGCGGCCCGAGUGGCGGCCACUCUUAUUGGGCCUAAAGCGUCCGUAGCCGGCCCAGUAAGUCCCCCGGGAAAUCUGGUCGCUUAACGAUCAGACUUCCGGGGGAUACUGCUGGGCUAGGGACCGGGAGAGGCCGAGGGUAUUCCCGGGGUAGGGGUGAAAUC
rnacentral:rRNA from 1 species